UACGUAGGGGGCGAGCGUUGUCCGGAUUUAUUGGGCGUAAAGAGCUCGUAGGCGGUUUGGUAAGUCGGAUGUGAAAUCUCCACGCUCAACGUGGAGGGGCCAUUCGAGACUGCUAUGACUAGAGUCCGGUAGAGGAGUGUGGAAUUCCCGGUGUAGCGGUGAAAUGCGCAGAGAUCGGGAGGAACACCCGUAGCGAAGGCGGCACUCUGGGCCGGUACUGACGCUGAGGAGCGAAAGCGUGGGGAGCAAACAGG
rnacentral:rRNA from 1 species